GAUGAACGCUGGCGGCGUGCCUAAUACAUGCAAGUCGAGCGAACGGACGAGAAGCUUGCUUCUCUGAUGUUAGCGGCGGACGGGUGAGUAACACGUGGAUAACCUACCUAUAAGACUGGGAUAACUUCGGGAAACCGGAGCUAAUACCGGAUAAUAUUUUGAACCGCAUGGUUCAAAAGUGAAAGACGGUCUUGCUGUCACUUAUAGAUGGAUCCGCGCUGCAUUAGCUAGUUGGUAAGGUAACGGCUUACCAAGGCAACGAUGCAUAGCCGACCUGAGAGGGUGAUCGGCCACACUGGAACUGAGACACGGUCUAGACUCCUACGGGAGGCAGCAGUAGGGAAUCUUCCGCAAUGGGCGAAAGCCUGACGGAGCAACGCCGCGUGAGUGAUGAAGGUCUUCGGAUCGUAAAACUCUGUUAUUAGGGAAGAACAUAUGUGUAAGUAACUGUGCACAUCUUGACGGUACCUAAUCAGAAAGCCACGGCUAACUACGUGCCAGCAGCCGCGGUAAUACGUAGGUGGCAAGCGUUAUCCGGAAUUAUUGGGCGUAAAGCGCGCGUAGGCGGUUUUUUAAGUCUGAUGUGAAAGCCCACGGCUCAACCGUGGAGGGUCAUUGGAAACUGGAAAACUUGAGUGCAGAAGAGGAAAGUGGAAUUCCAUGUGUAGCGGUGAAAUGCGCAGAGAUAUGGAGGAACACCAGUGGCGAAGGCGACUUUCUGGUCUGUAACUGACGCUGAUGUGCGAAAGCGUGGGGAUCAAACAGGAUUAGAUACCCUGGUAGUCCACGCCGUAAACGAUGAGUGCUAAGUGUUAGGGGGUUUCCGCCCCUUAGUGCUGCAGCUAACGCAUUAAGCACUCCGCCUGGGGAGUACGACCGCAAGGUUGAAACUCAAAGGAAUUGACGGGGACCCGCACAAGCGGUGGAGCAUGUGGUUUAAUUCGAAGCAACGCGAAGAACCUUACCAAAUCUUGACAUCCUCUGACCCCUCUAGAGAUAGAGUUUUCCCCUUCGGGGGACAGAGUGACAGGUGGUGCAUGGUUGUCGUCAGCUCGUGUCGUGAGAUGUUGGGUUAAGUCCCGCAACGAGCGCAACCCUUAAGCUUAGUUGCCAUCAUUAAGUUGGGCACUCUAAGUUGACUGCCGGUGACAAACCGGAGGAAGGUGGGGAUGACGUCAAAUCAUCAUGCCCCUUAUGAUUUGGGCUACACACGUGCUACAAUGGACAAUACAAAGGGCAGCGAAACCGCGAGGUCAAGCAAAUCCCAUAAAGUUGUUCUCAGUUCGGAUUGUAGUCUGCAACUCGACUAUAUGAAGCUGGAGUCGCUAGUAAUCGUAGAUCAGCAUGCUACGGUGAAUACGUUCCCGGGUCU
rnacentral:rRNA from 1 species